rnacentral:rRNA from 1 species
GAUGAACGCUGGCGGCGUGCCUAAUACAUGCAAGUCGAGCGAACGGACGAGAAGCUUGCUUCUCUGAUGUUAGCGGCGGACGGGUGAGUAACACGUGGAUAACCUACCUAUAAGACUGGGAUAACUUCGGGAAACCGGAGCUAAUACCGGAUAAUAUUUUGAACCACAUGGUUCAAAAGUGAAAGACGGUCUUGCUGUCACUUAUAGAUGGAUCCGCGCUGCAUUAGCUAGUUGGUAAGGUAACGGCUUACCAAGGCAACGAUGCAUAGCCGACCGGAGAGGGUGAUCGGCCACACUGGAACUGAGACACGGUCCAGACUCCUCCGGGAGGCAGCAGUAGGGAAUCUUCCGCAAUGGGCGAAAGCCUGACGGAGCAACGCCGCGUGAGUGAUGAAGGUCUUCGGAUCGUAAAACUCUGUUAUUAGGGAAGAACAUAUUUGUAAGUAACUGUGCACAUCUUGACGGUACCUAAUCAGAAAGCCACGGCUAACUACGUG